UGGGGAAUAUUGGACAAUGGGCGGCAAGCCUGAUCCAGCCAUGCCGCGUGAGUGAUGAAGGCCCUAGGGUUGUAAAGCUCUUUCGCCAGGGUACGAUAAUCGACGGUACUGGAUAAGAAGCCCCGGCUAACUUCGUG
rnacentral:rRNA from 1 species